UGAGUCAGAGGUUGCUGGGGAAUUAGUUUGUCUCACCUGCCACUAAUGCUAAUGCAAGAGGAAAAGGUGCAACAGAAAAUUGGACCUUCCAAGCGUACUUGUGGAGAUGCAGGCUGAGAAGGAGCGGAACCGUGCCCAGCAUGAUGAGAACAUCUGGUUGCCCCUCAGCGAGGCAAGAGAGAAUGAAGCGGCCUUGCAGCGGGAGGAGAUGGCCCAGAAUGCUGCCUUCAACCAGUCAUUCCUGGGUGUACUGGGGCAGCUGGUGCAGGCAGUGGGCAGCCAGCGAGUCCACCUCCCAGAGACUUGAGAUUUAGUUGUAUAUAGUUUUACUUUUAGCCCUCCACUGUAGGAGAGGCCCACCACAGUUUGUACUUUGCACAUUGUAAAUAGUUUUGAUUUUGCUGCUGACUAAUAAACUAUUUUGUGACUUA
ensembl:lncRNA